AUGGUUAAAAGUUCAUUAAGAACAUCUGUAAUAUUUUAUUUCAUUUGGUGUGUCAUUUCAUGAGUUAUUUUGUGGUUAAAGUGCAUUUUGACUUUUAUUUUGAAGGGCACGUCGCUGCGUAACCCAGGUGACCACCAAUCAUCAAUCGUAUUUUUCAAAGGGUUUUCUUUGCUGGGAGAGUUAUGGUUUCUGCGGAGCGGGCCGCAAAUGAAACUUUUGAGAGAGCCAGGGAGGAAGGUGAAAACCUUUAGAUGUUAGAAGCCAAUUUUGUUGGAUUUUUGUGAAGGAGAUAUUCUACGUACUCGAUUUGUCCCUGUGUGGAGACGAUUAGUACGUUGGAAAUUGGGACUUGGCCAUUUAGAGUGGGUUGGAAAAACUUCAACCGACACAGACUUGGAAAACACGAGGUUGAAGCAAGAUGGCGAGUCACCCAGUGACCCACUGAACUGUGCAACUACUGUACCUGAGUGAUAGCGCCUCUAUUGGACGGUGCUCCUAACCUUCAGAACUGGUAGGAUUCAUCCAACUUCUGCAAAUCUGCAGAGGACUCUAAGCAAACUCUGAGUUGCUUAUUAAAAAGAAAACGAAGAUAGGAGAGAAGAGGACUCUCUUUUCUGUUGGUCCUGUUAUUGCCAAUUUAUUCAGUCUUUUGCUGAAUCAUUUUAGUUUUAUAACCUUUGAAUCUUUCUUUUUUUUAUGGGUACAACAAAUUGUAAAUGGUGUUGUUCUAUGCUAUUUACUUUUAUGUAAAUGUGAAUGAGUAUAUAAACUACAUGUGAAUCCUCUAACUCAAAGGUGAACUUCACUGAUGUGAUUUAGAUCAGCCUGAGUUAACUCAAAAGAUCAAAAUUUUAAUUGAAUUGAUUAAGAACUAAUUUGAACUAAACCAAACUAAAAGGGUUGCAACCUGAUACUAAAAUCUGACAUUAAGUCAAAAGUCAGAGGUUAAUUCAAAAGGUUAAAACUUAAUUACUUAACAAAAAGGGGUUAAGGUCAUUUAGAAUUGUGUAAAUCGUUGUCCAGUGUCUUGUAUGUAAGUUUUUUCAAUAAUAAGCCGGCAGUUAAACUUA